rnacentral:tRNA from 1 species
CAAAAAAUAGUUUAAAUCAAAACAUUAAUUUUGGAAAUUAAAUAUAUACAACUUUCCUAUUUUUUUGA